GAUUAACGCUGGCGGCGUGCCUAAUGCAUGCAAGUCGAACGUGGUCUCUUCGGAGAUGCGCGUGGCGGACGGGUGAGGAACACGUGGGGAACCUGCCCAUUGGUGGGGGGUAGCCCGCGGAAACGCGGGGUAAUUCCGCAUACGCUCGCUGGAGAGUAACUCGAGUGAGGAAAGGGUCUUCGGACUCGCCGAUGGAGGGGCCUGCGUCCGAUUAGCUUGUUGGUGGGGUAACGGCCUACCAAGGCGAUGAUCGGUAGCUGGUCUGAGAGGACGGCCAGCCACAGGGGGACUGAGACACGGCCCCCACUCCUACGGGAGGCAG
rnacentral:rRNA from 1 species